GAGAGUUAAAUAGUACGUGAAAUUGUUGAAAGGGAAACGAUUGAAGUCAGUCAUGCUAGUGAAAAAUCAGUUUGACGGGUUUUGAGUUCGGGAGUAGAGGCAGGGUCAAACCGUUUCUCUUUUGAACUUGGGAUUUGUUAGAUGUACUUUUUCUUUGGCAGGUCAGCGUCGAUUUCGGAGGUUGUAAAAUACUUGGGGGAAAGUAACUCUUCUUCGGGAGAGUAUUAUAGACCCUGGGGGAUGCAGCCUGCGGGAUCGAGGAUUGCAGCAAAUGCCUUUGGCUUGUCGCCUGAUCUCUGGAUGUUACCUCGCUUGUGACAACAUUCUUGCCACCUGUGGGUACUAAUGCCCAUUAGGUUAGAGCGAUCAAAAAUUUUGCUAAGGAUGCUGACGUAAUGGCUUUAAACGA
rnacentral:rRNA from 1 species